AGGGUGUAAACGCUGCAGACUUGGUGUUGGAAGCCCUUUGGGGGCAUUCAGUGCCGGAGAGAAGUUGUUAAGUCUGCUACUUGGGGAGUACGUCCGCAAGGAUGAAACUUAAAGGAAUUGGCGGGGGAGCACCGCAACGGGAGGAGCGUGCGGUUUAAUUGGAUUCAACACCGGUAAACUCACCCAGGGAAGACUGUUACAUGAAGGCCGAGAUGAAGACUCUGCUAGAUUUUCAGAGAGGUGGUGCAUGGCGUCAGUGACU
rnacentral:rRNA from 1 species